rnacentral:lncRNA from 1 species
CUGAGCACACUGAUUCUGAAGAUGCUACCCAAAAUGCUCUGAGGAUAAUCUUUUUAACAUGGACAGAUUCACCAGGUGCUCCUGAGGUCUGUUGUUAUGCAAGCAGCUGUCUCUCAAAGGUCCCAGUUUCUCCACGGAUGGGAUUCCUCUUUCUACAAGGGCUCACAGUUAUUUAACUACACUUUUCCUGGUGCCAAUGUUGAGUUGAGCAGAAGUGAAGCUGGAGAGUAUCCUGAUUGCAUGAAUGAUAUGCAUAGAAACUCUCAUCACUUGAGGAGUCCAUUACGGAAUUAUAUCUUUAACUCACGUGCAAAACUAAUCAUAUGAAGAAUGUUCAUGCUGCAGUUGGUUGAGAAGAACAAUACAGUAAUUAUCUUUCUUAGUAUUUCCAGCCUCCACCUCAUCAGUAAAGCUUCAAUGGACAAUACUGUUUGAAUCAGAAAUUUAACACCACCAUGAAGGACACCAUCAGGUCUAACUACACUCAUAGGACAAUCAUGUAGAUAUCCACGUGAGCUUUAAACUGGCUGGAUUCAGUAGCAAUGCAGGUCUAACCACCAUAUGAAUCAGCAUGUGUUCCUGUAGCCUACUAAGAAAGUUCUGCAGGAUAGAUG